GACUUUGCCGGAUUAGCUGAGAGGUGGUGCAUGGCCGUCGUCAGUUCGUACUGUGAAGCAUCCUGUUAAGUCAGGCAACGAGCGAGACCCACGCCCACAGUUGCCAGCGUACUCUCUGGAGUGACGGGUACACUGUGGGGACCGCCGCUGCUAAAGCGGAGGAAGGAAUGGGCAACGGUAGGUCAGUAUGCCCCGAAUAUCCCGGGCUACACGCGAGCUACAAUGGUUGGUACAAUGGGUAUCUACCCGAAAGGGGACGGGAAUCUCCUAAAACCAAUCUUAGUUCGGAUUGAGGGCUGCAACUCGCCCUCAUGAAGCUGGAAUCCGUAGUAAUCGCGUUUCAACAGAACGCGGUGAAUACGUCCCUGCUCCUU
rnacentral:rRNA from 1 species